AGCCACAUGACUUUCUGGCUACAUUGCUGCCCUUCAUCUGAACUUUGGCUUAGAUAGUCAUAGGCAGUCCUAGACCAGUGCAACACAUGCUGUUGUACAGGGGUGCUUCCUUGUCUCUAGGUUGGCUAAUGUCUCCAUUCCUACUGCCCAGUGCUGAAGUGGGGAACUAAUGCGCUACCUGCUAAUGAAAAACAGUCCCUUUUUAUACAAUCCCUGCGAUGGGUGAGGCACUGCUGCUAGAGGGCAUUUGGGAAUUGAAUCCAGCUAGCAAACAAACUCUAGUCCCACAAAUAUAAUGCGACUCGGCCUGCACUGAGUAUGACCAGAGGUAUACUGAAAUUGUUUCAUAGUCUCCCAGAGCUUGGAAGAGUACAAAAACAAUCAUAAGUGGGGAUUUCUAUGAUGCCUGGAUCUGUUCUGGCUCCUACAGCAGUGAUAUAAAUGCUUGCAAUGCCUGCGCAUACUGUGAAUAUAUCUGACUUCUGGCACUGCCUUGGCACAACCAGGACUUAUUGGAUUCCCUGAUGCUAGACAGCUAAGUGCAUCCAUGAUAUGAUGAUAAAUCAGGAAGACUACAUGAUUUGAAAUUUAACAGC